rnacentral:lncRNA from 1 species
CAAUACCCAAUACCCAUUAAGCUAAUCUUAGGGACCCUUCUAGACUCUUCUUUGGAAGAAAAAUAAAUAAAAAGACCCUAAGGACCUAAGAGCAAAUACACAAAAUAUAAAUCUAGACUCUAGGACCUAGAUAUAUAGGCUAACGCCUAAUGAACUGAAGGACAGAUAUAGGAGGACCGCUUAAAAACCUAAAGAAAAGAUACACUCUGCAAAAGCUGCAGCGCCAUACAUAUACAGACCCACCCCCUCUUUUCAUCGUCUUCUUCGACGCCAACAACCCCAAAGGACCUAUCGUUUCUUCUUCUUUUGAAUCAGAGAAUCAAGACCUCCAUUAGAAUACACCAUCGAAGACCUCUUGAUCUUCAACUUCUUCUGCAGCAGCACAAACCAAAAGCAACGACCCCUAAGUUGUUCCACUUCUGUCUCGAAGCAGCAGGACCUGCAACCUUCCAACGAUCCCUCCCCACCAUGAACUGAUCUUCCUCAAUCGCUGAACACCCAGAAACACCUCCUCCAUCGAUACUCCUCUUCUUCAACUUCAUAGAGUCCAUUUUGAAGUUCGUUCGUUGAGUUGUUCGGGGUCGAGCGCUGGAGACGUUCGAGGUCGUCGGGUCCCUGUUCCGUUUGUGGUCAUUUUCUGGUGCAUUUCCGGUCCCUUACUGUGUUUUUGUGUGGUUGAAAGUAUAAUAAGAGUAGUAGAGGUUAAAUUCUAGGAACUGAGUUGGUAAUUGUAGGAGAUUUGGUGUUUUUGCUUAUUGUGUGAUGCUCUAUUCUGUCGAAUGGUGUUCUAAAUUUGGUGUUUGUCGAUUUUGCUAUUAGAAUUUGCUAGUGCUCAAGUUGUCGCAAAUCUGUUAACCAUGAAAUUCACGUCUCUGAUUCGUUGAAAUGUUUGAGCUGCUGCAGUUUUGUCACAAAUUCUCGAUUACGGUGAAUAUGUGUCCAAUUUCCCUUUGUGAUUUUGUUUUAUUUCAUUUUUCAGUCAUUGUUUGGCUUGUUACGAGUAGAGUUCGGAAGUGGAACUUAUUGUAUGUUCGUUAAUAUGGAGCUACUGGAAAUAUUUUUUUUGGAGUUGUUGAUCUUUUGUAUUUAGUUGUAAAUUGGGUUAAUUUGAGUGGUUUUAUAUUAUUAAGCAAAGACUAAGCUAAGAAUAGAAGGAAUCGUUUCACGAGUUAAUUUUGAACAUUGAAGCAAAAAAAUGAAACUUCAAGAACGGUGGUGGACUGAUGCAAUUAUGCGCUGGGAUACUACUUAUAUUUAUUUUAUGAAAGUUAGUUUGAGAUUUAUCCUUUGUUAAAGGUUUCCAAAAACAAUCAGAUUCUAAUUUUAAAGAAGUUGAUUUUGGGUUUAAAAUUGCGAAGUGGCCAGUAUCAUAUUUAGUUCAAUCCUUUGUUAUUAUAGUAAUCUUUGUCUUAUUUCGUACGUCUUGGAUGUUUACAUGUCUCGAUAUCUCAUUUUUGGUGAUCGGUAUAUUUUUGUUUUGAAUGACCGUGGGAUCGUGGGGAGUGAUAGAAAGGCCGAAGCCCUUUAGCAAUUACUUUGUUCCAUGUUUUAGGUAUCGGGCUCGGCCGGAUAGGAGAAGGGUUUAAAAGGAAAUGUUCAUGAAAUCUCGUUUAGUAAAAGUAUUCCAUAACGCAUGGCCCUCACGAGUGUUAUAAUUUAGAUAUUAAAAAUGAACUUCGUAGUUUGCUUUAGCCGCGUUAGUUAUAUAUUUAUCAUGGCUUUUAUUGAAAUCCGAGGGUGCAUUUUAUGUGACCCGGUUCUAAUUUCCAACAAGGUUAUUCUCAUUUCCAACAAGGUUAAAUAGAGUGUGUCGUGAACCACGGGUGCAUUUCAUGUGACGUGACUUGCGAUAUGUUUUAAAUAACCUUGAAUUAAUUCCUUAAAUAAGUAAAAGCGGUUUUCAAAAGUUAAAAGGCGCAUAGGUUUAAAAGUGUUUUAAAAUCAAGUAAAUAGGCCAAUAAUAACAGUUGGGCGACCGUGCUAAAACCACGGAACCCGGGAAUGCCUAACACCUUCUUCCGGGUUAACAGAUUUCCUUACCCGAAUUUCUGUGUGCGGGGACUGAAAAUAUUUCCUUGAUUCGGGAUUUAAAACUGGUGACUUAGGACACCAUAAAUUGUCCCAAGUGGCGACUCUGAUUUUUAAAUAAUAAUCCCGUUUUGGUUGUCACUUUAAGUUGGAAAAAACUCCCUUGUACCCUUCCGGAGGGUAGGAAAAGGAGGUAUGACAGCUCUGGUGACUUUGCUGGGGAUCGAACCCAGAACCUCUGGUUCAGGGUUCAGAUUCGAGCUUAGAAUAACUGUUAUAGUUGGCUUUUAUUUAUUAUCUGAUUUUUAUAUGUUUGAGCCUAAUGUGCUAAUUGGUGUUUUUUACCACUUUGAUAUUUUUGGAUUGUAUAUAAACUGUUACGAAACCCCUCCUCUCUUGAGUCUUCCAAAUNNNNNNNNNNNNNNNNNNNAAAAUGAGAAAAAAAGAGGGUGAAGUGUGAAAAUGAAGCAAGUAGGGCCCAGUUAUUAUUUUCUUUGACACUUUUUCAAGAAAGAAAAAACCAAAAAAAUGAAAUGAAAAUAUCUAAAAAGAUUUUGCAUUUUCCCCGUCAUUUUUUUAAAAAAAUCAAUCAAAAAAAAAGGAAAAAAAGAAAAUCCAAAAAAGAUUUUACAUGUUUCAUCAUUUUUCAAGAAAAGGCAAAAAAAAAUAUUUUCUCUUAGUUAUUUGUUAAUUUUAUUUCUCGCCCGUAUCCAAUCUGCCCGAACUACGCAUACCUGAUUCUCGUCUUUCGGGGCGUGAUACGUAGGCAACCCACAUAGGGUCCGGUCUUCCUAGUGAGUUUAGGUUCUUGGAUUCGCGGGGUCAUGCCAAAUCUUGUAUUUAUAGCCACGUAGAUUAAUUUUAGAAAAAUAGUCACAACCAUGUCUUGCAUGUGUCUAGUAGGGGAUCUUAUUGUCUCACACAGUGUUGGUUUGAGUUUUUUCAUAGAGGUGUGGACUUACUUACCGGAGUUUGAGCAUGACAGAGCCCUAGGACCUUCUAGUUAGGAUCGCUCAUUUAGGAAUGGAUUAAAAGGAGAUUUUCUUUUCUUUUUUAUGUUUUGAGUCUGUUUUUUUAUGUCGUCUUUUACCUUCUAGUUUUGUAUUGUAAUGUCGAGUUUUUUAUUAUUAUUGUACUUUCUAUUUUGCAUUUGAAAAAGCGUGUUAUAAAUCAAAAAUCCAAAAAAAAAAAAUUUGCGUUUUAUAUUUCCGCUAAAAGUUUUCAUUAGAAUACUAAUUCUAGAAAUGAAAAAAAAAUUCAUUUGAGGUGGUUUUCCUUAGGAAAUUAAUAUCUAGAGCUCAAAAUAAAAUAAUAAUUGUUUUUAUAUUUCCUUUAGUAUAUUAAGACUAAAAAUUCAAAAAAAGAGAAUUUUCUUUUAGUAUCUCUUUAAAAGUUUUCUUUAAGAUAUUGAUUCCAAAAUCCAAAAAGAUUUUCGUUUGAGGUGCUUCUUUGGGAAAUUAAUGAAAAAUGAAAAAAAAAUUAUUUUCAUUAGAACUUUAGGAUAUUGUACAUAGAAGAAAAAAAAACAUAUUUUAUCUUUUGUUUAUCCUUAAAGUUUCUUUCUUAGGUAAUCAAAAACUGAAAUCCAAAAAUAUUUUUUAUCUUUUUCAUUUCUUAGUUCAAAAUCUUUCUUUCAGGAUAUCAAACAAAAAUUAAAAAUAUUUUUCUUUAGUUUAUUUUUUAGAUUUCUUUCCAAAAAAAAGAAUCAAAAAAUAUUUUUCUAUUCUAGGGUUUUUUCCUUAAUAAUUUCCCAUAGAGUGUUUGUUACAAAAAGAAACAAAAAAAAACAUGCCCGUUAAGCUUGAGUUUAAAAUAGGUUAUAGAACAUUAAGUCUAGAAAAUUCAAAAAAACAAAGAUUUGCUUCUCUUAUUUCUCUUUUCUCAUCAGAGUAGUCAUUAAGGUAAAAAAGAAAAGAAAAAGAGAAUGUCAGUUUGUUUACUUAAUUUAUUCCCGAUCUUCCCGAACUACGCAAAGAUCUGAUUCAUGCGGUGUCAUGAUAUGUAGGCAACCUACAUAGGGUUCGAUCGAAUCAUUUUUUUUAUUAAAAGAAAAAAAAGAGUUUAAAUUAUGGGAUAUGAGAAAUGAGAGGAAAGAAAAGGGUGUUAAUUAGAACAAAAAAGGAAGGAAAAUGAGCAAGCCAAGAAGUACUAGAAAAGAAAAGAUAGAAAAGAUUGAAAUGAACAAAAUUGGGAUGAUGCCAAGUGACCUUGUGACCUUAGAAGUCAUUCUAGAAUCGUUAAUUGUUGUUAGGUGCAUUGCACACAAUGUGAUAUUUUUAGUUGUUAAAUGCCCUAAUGCUAACAGGAUGUCCCCAUUUUGUUCCUUUUGUUAUCUUCAUUGAGCAGAAAGGUGGUUGGUUUGUGGUUCUUAAAGUGAUAACUCUUCUCUACAACAUAAGGUCGAAAGGCAAUGACAGACAGCAACAAAAUUGAGUUGGUUGAUACGGGUACCCAAAAGCAAUUGGUUGAACAGGACAAUAGGUCGGUUGAAGAGGUGAGAAUGUUAAGACAACACAUGACGGACAUGUAUCAGGCCUGGAUGACUGGGAAGGCACCACCCCCGCCACCACCUACCUUCCUAAAUGCUACCCUUACCCAAACUCCGGCCAUAGUACCAAAUGAUCCCUCAUACUCUCCAGAUACACCCGCAUAUCACAACUUUCCCAACCACCCUAGUAGCUCCGUCACUCAUCCUCCAAUUACCUCUCCCCAAAAUUGCCCUCCUAUUAUAUCCACUACCCCCAUGAUCACAACUUCUCAACAAUCUUUCCUUCAUAGAUCCAACAAUGAGCACCUACUCAAAGCUCAUGAUGCCCAAUAUUACCCCUCAGAGGUUGCCCACAAGAUUCUUGACUCAUACAAGCAGAGCUCUCGGGAUGAGCCUCAUGUUGAAAAUGAAAAGUUCACAGGAAAAGAAGGGCGAGAUGAGAUGUCCAGGAAGCUGAAAAGCAUAGAACGAUCCUUAAAGAACAUGCAAGGGAUGGGAGACCAAGUUAAUAUGUCUUACAAAGAAUUGUGUAUGUUCCCUGACAUUCGCCUGCCUGCGGGGUUUAAAGUGCUAAAGUUUAACUUGUAUGAUGGAUGUGGAGACCCCGUAGCCCAUUUGAGGGUUUGUUGCAGUGAAAUGAGAAGUGUUAGCGAGAAAGAUGAUUUGUUGAUGGCGUAUUUCAAUAAGAGCUUGACUCGAGUAGCUUUGGAAUUGCAUAAUCGUCAAGAUAUCGGUAAGUGGCGUACAUUAGGUGACAUGGCUCAAGAUUUUGUUCGACACUUUCAAUACAAAUUAGGCAUUACCCCAGACCUCUCCUCCCUAUCUAAAAUGGAAAAGAAGCCGGAGGAAAGCUUUAGGGAGUUUGGGCUCAGAUAGAGGGAGCAAGCUGCUCGAGUCAGCCCCCCGAUUGGUGAAGAAGAAAUGGUUGAGAUUUUCCUACAAGCUCAGGGGCCCACCUACUUCAGUCAUUUGAUUCCGACCUUGGAUAAACAUUUCAAUGAUGUGGUAAAAAUGGGGAGAUGGUAGAAGAGAGAAUCAAGUCAAGCAAAAUCAUGAGUUAUUCGGCAUUGAAAGAUACUACGGAAGACAUUCAGAACAUCCUAGUAAGUUCGGGUGGAAGAAUGAGAAAUAGAAAAGAUGAUCCGCUGGACAUUCCUACUCAACGCUUUCAGCCUCGACAUUGACCCCAUGGAUAUCCUCGUGCACCAGAUGAUCCUCCCCAAUGCUACUUCUCUCCACAGAACCCCAAAGUCAUACAUCACUUUCCCAGUACCCUAUCCACAAUGCACCACCAUAUGCUCCACACCCACGAGGCCCGUGAUGGCCAGCACCACUUCCCUAAAUGUCUUACCCGCCUCCUCAAGCAUAUCAACCACCUGCCCGCAAAAGGUUCCAACCGAGGCCAGAAUACAAACUGAAAAGACUACUGAAAAAUGAAAAGGCUUUAUCCUCUAUUGGAGAAUCAUAUGCCAGUUUGUUCCAAAGGUUGAGGCAAUUGGACAUGUUGAAGCCGAUUUAGAUAAAAAUGCCAAACCCUCUGCCAAAGAAGUUUGAUUUUUCUCAAAGGUGUGCAUACUGCUCCGAUGCCCCGGGUCAUAGUACAAACAAAUGUUGGCACCUGAAAAAUGCAAUUCAAUAGCUUAUUGAUGCAGGUGACAUUGUUGUGCAAAAUCCAGAUGCAGUAGACACUAGCCAAAGUCCAUCGCAUGUUCAUAAUGAGAUGCAUAUAGUGGAUAUGAUUUGUUUUGAAAAGGAAUAUGAAAAUUCUUCUGAGAUCCUCGGAGGUCUACGUGCUGCGAAACUUUCAGCGCUAUCAGAGUGUGAUCUUAAGAAUGAGCUGGCAAAAAGGACCCAAACGCAAUUUGCUAAAGUCAAUGUGAUGGAGACUUGUGAAGGUCCUAGUAAUGUUGAUGCGAAACUCAGUGGCUAAGAUGUCGUGUUUGGUAAUUGGAAAAACGCUCCAUUCUUGGUUGGCUCAGGAAGGAGUUGUGGUGGUUUAUUUUGUUUUCAUUUUUGUUGUCCGGGUUAUUUUCAGGGUUGUAGUUCGGAUAUUGUCUUGUGACUCAAACCCUUCUAUCCUUUUAUUUUGCCUAAUUUUGUUUAGUCGUAGUGGCUCAUUUAGUGUUGUCUGGUUUUGUUUAGGGUUGUACUCCAGUUUAUUUUUCUUGUCUUGUUGUUCAAACCCUUCUCACCAUCGGUCUAAUGCAAUUUCCUAUUUUCUGUUAUUUUUGACCAUUUUUUUAGUUCUCUUAUCUUUUAUAGUUUUUCUUCUCAUGCUGGAUCUAAUGACAUGACAUGCAGGCAUAAUUCUAGGCUUGGUUCUAAAGUUAGUUUAAUCAUGAAGCAAUGAGACAAUUUUAAAGAUGCUAGGGACAUUUGAGGGAAAUAAGUACAGAUUUUGACAUUUUAAGAUCAUUUGAAGCCCAAACCAUGUGAAACUAGGGCAGAUAAUUUGGAAAGUUAAUAGGGUGACAAGAAUUCGUUAAAGGAGAGUGCAUCCCAGACAGUUUGAAACAAGCAACUUUGAGUUCAAGUGCAUCUCAAGUUACAAGAUAAAGUAAAUAAAGUUGUCUCCAAAUUGACGGAGGAUAUCUAUUGUGAAGAGAGAAUCACCCAACGAGGGUUCUGUACUUGACAAGGCACUAAAAAAAAAGUGGAAAUCAUAUCAUUGAUAUCAAUGUCAAAGCUGUAAAAGAAACAUUGUGCGUGCUAUUCCUUUUUCAUUUCAAGUUUCAUAUAUUGUGCUUGGCAUUUUCAGGGAUUGGGAGACCCUCUUUCAGCUACCCAAACACUUAUACCAUUUGAUACUCUCUUGAGCCUAUACUAGUUUCUUUGACCUCCCCUCUUUUGGAAUUAAGUUAGAGUCAUAAAAAAUAAAAAUAAAAAGUUCAUGCCCCCAUAGGUUUAUUUUAGAAAGUUCAUUCCAAAAGGAAAAUUAAAAAAAAAUAGAGAUUAAAAAAAAAGAAAAAAAGAAAGAAAAGAAAAAGAAAAAAAGAAAAAGAAAAGAAAAAGNNNNNNNNNNNNNNCACAAGAUNCGUAGGCAGCCUUACGGUUCGGUCAUACCAAAUAAAAUAUUUCAUAAUCCAUUAUUUUAGAUUAUGAUAUCAAAUUCCAUUUCAAAAAAAAGAAAAACAAAGAAAAAAGAGAAUCAAAUUCCAUUAUUUUAGAAAUUUGGGCAAAGUUUUUAGAAUGAAUUCCAAAAGUUGUAAAUAAUUUAACCCCGUUGUCAUAGUUAUUUUUGAGUCUUUAUGAUAUCCUUUCUUUCUAAUCCUGUCCAAAAGCCACAUUACAGUCCAAACAAAAUCUCCCAGAUAAUCUUUGAGAGUGCUGAGUUAGCCAUGUCAGGAGCUUAUGAUGUUUUUACUGUGGUCAAUGCCUUGUCAUCUACAGAAAAGAGAGAAAAAAAAAGAAAAAUGAGAGAGUCUUAUCGGUGAAAACCUUCACAGGCACCAUAAGGCGACGGUGAGUCGAGAGAAAUAACAAAAUGAGAGUGGCUUGAUAGUGAAAACCCUUUGGGCACUACAAGUCGAAUAAGGAUCGAGAAUUGGAUUAGAUAAUCGGAGCAUUGAAACCCAGUUUCACGGCUUAGGGGAUAUAACAAGAGUUGAACAUCAGACUUGCUUGACAGAUUAGGCCACUCAAUCCAAAGGUGCAUGUCAUGGUCAUUAGAGUUGGGAUCCACAUCUGAUAGGUUUCUACUUGUAGUUUUUUGUUAGGAAUCAUCCCUUUCCAUUGUCCUUUACUCUGGUCAUUUUGUCUUGUUUACUUCCUUUUCCUGAGUCUGUUUGGCUAGAACAAGUGAGAAAUGACUAUAAAACUUGCCACCCGCUUUCCAAUUGCACAAAACGGGAUCUGGCUAGCACAUCAAAGUGUCAUAAUUCAGGAAAGAACAACAAGUGCAAUGAGUUGGUUACAAUCAACGUGCUUUGAGAUUCAUGUGAAAUACAAAGGAUCGGUAUAUGUCAAUUCAUGAACAAUGCAACAAAUUGAGGGUGUUGGGUUGGAACAAAUCAAAGGUAUUUUCUGUGAUAAGAUUGACAAAGAAAGUGGUUAACCAGUGACAAGCAAGGUCUUCCAAGCGGAAAUCAAAGUUAUCAUGGCAAGUGAAGGAGCAAUAGACCUCAAGGCCAAGGCCAGUGUUUUAAGUCAGGAAAGAACAACAUGCGCACUGAGUGGAUGGAAAUUGAUGUGCUUUGGGAUUCAUGUGAAACACAAAGGUUCAGUACAUGUCAAUGCAAAAGCACAAUGCAACAGAUGAAUGGUAUUGGGUUUGAACGGAUCAGAGGUAUUUUCCGUGAUUAGGGUGACAGAGAAAAUAGUUAGUCAAUAAACAAGCAAGGUCUUUCGAGUGGAAAUCAAAGUUAUCAUGGUCAGUAAAGGAGCAAUCGCCCUCAAAGUCAAGGCCACAAACCAACCACCAUAUUUAUAAACUCACAAGUUCUUUUUGUUUGAAACAGGGACGAAAAUUGUGUCCAAAUCAAAGCUUUGAAAUUUGAAUUUGUUCAAGUAUCGUGCCCAAAUUUUGUCAGCACAAAGUCAAUUUAAGAAGGGGAAAGAAAAUUUAUUCGAUCUACAGGAACCAUCCAUGAGGAAAAGCUUGGUUUAGGGGUAAGGAAUUUUGUUCAGUCUACGGAGAUCCUCCAGGAAGAGAGUGCGGCUCAGCUAAGUUCAUUCUCGGCUUUUCAGGACCCUCCUGGAUAAUGGGAUUAGUCUAAAGUUCUCAGGACCUUCUUGGAUAAUGGGAUCUAAUUUUAAGUUUUUAAGACUUUCAUAGAUAAUAAGAUUUAGCAUAAGUUUUACCUUUAGGAAAUAGAAUUUAGCCUUAAAGUUGUCACUUUUAAGAUGAGAUUUAAUUUUAGAUUUUCAGGACCCUCCAAGAUAAUGGGAUUUAGCUUUUAAAUUCUUAGAGCUUUUGGAUACUAUGAUUCGAUUAACACUCACAGAUGUUCCCGAUAUCAAACUGGGGCAGAAAAAAAAAUUGUUUGUUUUGUUGUAAUCAGGUUCACAGGCAGCAGUUUCAGAGGAGUCAGUUCAAGUGUUGGAAAUCAGGCGCCCACCUGGAGAACAGAGGGAAAGCAGCAAGGUUCAAAGGAGUUCAGUAAUCAGGAGCCCACCUGAAGAACAAAGGGAGGUAGUUCAAGUUUUGAGGAAAAGCAGUGCAAGUGUGGUAAUCAGGAGCCCACCUGGAGAACGAAGGGAAGCAACAAUGUUUAAAGGAAGACGGCAAUCAGGAGCCCACCUAAAGAACGAAGGGAAGUAGCGAUGUUCAAAGGAAUACAACAAUCAGGAGCCCACCUGGAGAACGAAGGGAAGCAUCGAGGUUCAAAAGAGUUCAGCAAUUAGGAGCCCACUUGAAGAACAAAGGGAAGUAGUUAAAGUUUCGAGNNNNNNNNNNNNNNNNNNNNNNNNNNNNNNNNNNNNNNNNNNNNNNNNNNNNNNNNNNNNNNNNNNNNNNNNNNNNNNNNNNNNNNNNNNNNNNNNNNNNNNNNNNNNNNNNNNNNNNNNNNNNNNNNNNNNNNNNNNNNNNNNNNNNNNNNNNNNNNNNNNNNNNNNNNNNNNNNNNNNNNNNNNNNNNNNNNNNNNNNNNNNNNNNNNNNNNNNNNNNNNNNNNNNNNNNNNNNNNNNNNNNNNNNNNNNNNNNNNNNNNNNNNNNNNNNNNNNNNNNNNNNNNNNNNNNNNNNNNNNNNNNNNNNNNNNNNNNNNNNNNNNNNNNNNNNNNNNNNNNNNNNNNNNNNNNNNNNNNNNNNNNNNNNNNNNNNNNNNNNNNNNNNNNNNNNNNNNNNNNNNNNNNNNNNNNNNNNNNNNNNNNNNNNNNNNNNNNNNNNNNNNNNNNNNNNNNNNNNNNNNNNNNNNNNNNNNNNNNNNNNNNNNNNNNNNNNNNNNNNNNNNNNNNNNNNNNNNNNNNNNNNNNNNNNNNNNNNNNNNNNNNNNNNNNNNNNNNNNNNNNNNNNNNNNNNNNNNNNNNNNNNNNNNNNNNNNNNNNNNNNNNNNNNNNCUGAAGAACAAAGGGAAGCAGCAAUGUUCAAAGGAAGAAAGCAAUCAGGAGCCCACCUGGAGAACAAUGGGAAGUAGCGAGGUUCAAAGGAGUUCAGCAAUCAGGAGCCCACCUGAAGAACAAAGGGAAGUAGUUCAAGUUUCGAGGAAAAGCAGCGCAAGUGUUGGUAAUCAGGAGGCCACCUGGAGAACGAAGGGAAGUAGCAAUGUUCAAAGGAAGAUAGCAAUCAGGAGCCCGCCUGGAGAACAAAGGGAAGCAGCAAGGUUCAAAGGAAGUUCGGCAAUCAGGAGCCCACCUGGAGAACAAAGGGAGAACAAGGAAAGUUUUGGAGGAAAGGAAGAUAAUUCAAAUGCUUGAAAUCAUGAGCCCACCCAGAGAACAAAGGGAAGGAAACAGUGGUCAAAGGAAGACGGUUCAAGUUCAGAAAUCAGGCGCCUAUCUGGAGAAUAAGAGAAUUCACUUCAGAAUACAAUUCAGGUUAGCAACAAAAGAAGCUCGCGGCAAGAAUGCGAGUCAACAGUCCGAGGUGAUCAACAGAAGUUAGUCACAAUAAAGGAAAAAAGAGAAAGGCAAGAAGUCAAUCCAAAUGCAGAAGUUGAUGAAAGACGUGGGCUGCUCAAGACAUGGCCGAGGUCACAAGCACUGUAUGUCUGGUCUUGAUUCGAAAAGCUGAAGAAGGAUGAACUAGCACCUGCAACUAGCAAGCGUACAGGUUCAAAUCUAAGGUCUGCAUGAAGAACCACUCAAGACUCAAGGUCAAGCUUCAGAAGACUUAUAGAUAUGAAUCUUGUAACCCGUAGUUGAUAGGCUUAGCUAGUCUUUUUCAUGUUUUGAUUUUUUAUGUAACAUUAGGACCGUGGACCGGAACCUCAGCGGAAUGACACCUCGACUGGCUCUCCACCUCGGCAUACUUCAUCAUCUCACUCACUUCUGAAUUACACGUGACCUAAUUCCUUUAUAGCCAAGGAUAUAUAGGCAGCUUGGAUACAAGGGCUCGGUCACAUCCCCCUCUUCUCUUAGUUUUGGUCUCCUUAAAUAAGGGUCAGAUCAAACACCUGUCUAGCCGUUCUUUUUCUGAAAACUCUUCGUGUUUCCAGUCAAUGAGGGGCAGCUGUAGACAUGUGAUUGUUUACCCUCCCCAAGAUUUUACAUAUUUUAGCAUGUAAAUAUUUAAUUUAGCCUAAUAUAGCUAUUUCAACUCAUUUUUACUCUUUUACUUUUAUUUUAUUACAAGAAAACGAAAAUUACAGAAAAUAGAUUCAUUAAUAUUUUGUAGUCAUUUUUAAUCCUGAAAAUACCAAAAAAUAGUUUUGUUUUAACAGUUAGUCUUAUUUUAAUAAUUAUUUUUACUUAAGUAGGGCUAAUUAAUAUUUUUAAUACGGAUAUAUUUUUAGUUAAUUAAGCUAAUUUAAGCAUAGCUAGUCAUAAAGGCCCAAGUUUUUAGCCCCUUCCUUAAGCCCAAUACUCAAUACCCAUUAAGUUAAUCCUAGGGACCCUUCUAGACUCUUCUUUGGAAUAAAAAUAAAUAAAAAGAUCCUAAGGACCUAAGAGCAAAUACACAAAAUAUAAACAUAGACUCUAGGACCUAGAUAUAUAGUCUAACGCCUAAUGAGCUGAAGGACAGAUAUAUGAGGAACGCCUAAAAAUCUAAAGAAAAGAUACACUCUGCAAAAGCUGCAACGUCGUACAUAUACAGACCCACCCCCUCUUGUCAUUGUCUUCUUCCACGCCAACCACCCCAAAGGACCCAUCGUUUCUUCUUCUUCUGAAUCAGAGAAUCAAGACCUCCAUUAGAAAACACCAUCGAAGACCUCUUGAUCUUCAGCUUCUUCUGCAGCAGCACAAACCAAAAGCAAUGACCCCUAAGUUGUUCCUCUUCUGUCUCGAAGCAGCAGGACCUGCAACCUUCCAACGAUCCCUCCCCACCAUGAACUGAUCUUCCUCAGUCGCUGAACACCCAGAAACACCUCCUCCAUCGACGCUCCUCUUCUUCAACUUCAUAGAGUCCAUUUUGAAGUCCGUUCGUUGAGUUGUUCGGGGUCGAGCGCUAGAGACGUUUGAGGUCGUCGGGUCCCUGUUCCGUUUGUGGUCAUUUUCUGGUGCAUUUCUGGUCCCUUACUCUAUUUUGGUGUGGUUAAAAGUAUAAUAAGAGUAGUAGAGGUUGAAUUCCGGGAACUGAGUUGGUAGUUGUAAGAGAUUUUGUGUUUUUGCUUAUCGUGUGAUGCACUAUUCUGUCGAAGGGUGUUCUAAAUUUGGUGUUUGUCGAUUUUUCUAUAGAAUUUGCUAGUGUUCAAGUUGUCGCAAAUCUGUUAACCAUGAAAUUCACAUCUCUGAUUCGUUGAAAUGUUUGAGCUGCUGCAGUUUUGUCUCAAAUUCUCGAUUACUGUCAAUAUGUGUCCAAUUUCCCUUUGUGAUUUUGUUUUGUUUCAUUUUUCAGUCAUUCUUUGGCUUGUUACGAGUAGAGUUUGGAUGCGGAACUUAUUGUCUGUUCGUUAAUAUGGAGCUACUGGAAAUAUUUUCUUUUGGAGUUGUUGAUCUUUUGUAUUUAGUUGUAAAUUUGGUUAAUUUGAGUAGUUUUAGAUUGUUAAGCAAAUACUAAGCUAAGAAUAGAAGGAAUUGUUUCACGAGUUAAUUUUGAACAUUGAAGCAAAAAAAUGAAACUUCAGGAACGGUGGUGGACUGAUGUAAUUAUG